UACCAAUAAUUGGAUUAGAGUUAGAGUCACAGAACAGACAUGUCCCUACAUAAGAUUUACUAUGGUCUUUGCAUUUCUUUCUGGUAGAUGUUCCUGUGAGAACCUGCAUUAGAAAUGAUAUGCCUUUUUCAGAUUUAUGAAGCAGUGCUUUUUUUUUCCCCCCCCCAGAAUGACUAUUAAGCACUAUUAAAAACUCUCUCAAAAUGGUUCUUUAGUAAGUGAUACAAAUGUUUUUGCUAAUAUUGAGUUCAUUUUUCUUAAGCAUUUUAUUUCCACUUUUUCAUUGUGGCAGAAAUGGUCAAACAGGUUUCCUUCAUGCAUAUGGAAUUAGAGAAUAAAACAAGACCAAAAGGGGAGUCUGAGAAAUCCAUUGUUUUAUUUAUAUUUUUUAAAGAACAUAACAUAAUUUAACUCUUUAAAUUUUGGCCUUGUUGGAGAGUUUCAUUCCCAAGUUGGUUUUAUCUUCUUUGGCAUUUAUUUAUUUAUUUGCAUCCAAGUAAUACACAUGUAGUUUUAAAACUUAUAUGGAGGUAUGAGGUUUUUUUUUUUUUAAGUAAAAAAAAGAAAAAAGAAGGAAAGAGAAAGAAAUAAAAAAGAAUAAAAAUAAAGAAUGAAAAAGAAUGAAGGAGAGUAAGAAAGAGGAAGAGGGAGAGAGAACGGGAGUGUUGCUUUAUUGCCCGAGAAAAAUAACAGACCCAUGUUCACCCUAUUUCUGUUUCCCAUUCCCUUAAGGCAGAUGCUUUCAGUUCUGUCCAUGUUUCUAAAUAACAUACUCAUAUUGUGAUUUUUUUGAUUUUUCAGUUUUAGAUAUUAACUAUUGUUGUCCUAAGAUGGAAGAUGGUCAUUGGUUCUUCCUGCAUACCACAUGUGUUCCCUCUGGGUUCCCAGCACCACUUGCCGGCACACAGACUUUUUCCUUUUUCAAUCUUAUUAGCAUUUUUGGUUAACUCAGUUUUUACAUUAUUAUUUUUGAUGUUAUUUUAGUUCAGCUGUGUACUAUAGGAUAAUUGCAUUUCCUUUCUUGAACAUGUUUUACUAUUUCUGUAGCACAUCAUUGCCCUGUGUUUUUUUUUUUUUUGUCUGUGUGUGUGUACCAAUCACUGAUUUGACCCCCAAUACUUCAGCAGAACUGAAAAUUUGCUCAAAAUACAUUUAAACUUACUGGGUUUUCUUUUUGGACUCCUGUCUUUCCUGGAGCAGCUGCUGGCCCUGAUGGAUCUGUUCAUCUGUAGGAGUAAGCACUAAGAAGUCAGUUGGAAGUUCUGUGUGUGGGCAGGGCUGACUUAUUGUGCCUUGCUGAACAUAGUCUCUUUCUCUGGGACUCUGUCCCUGUAGGCCAUUGUUUUGGGUGGAUUCUUUCUCAGGAUUCUUCCAGUCUCCUUGCUGGGGUCUAUAGGAAAAGGGGGCAGGGGCAGGGCUUUCACUCUUUAUAAGAGUACAGACACUUUGUUUUCUCCUCAUUUUCAGUAGGGCUUUUAUAUUAUCUUUACCCUUCUCUCAUAUUCCCUUAAAUCAUGUUUUUGCCUCUUACAUAAUAUGACCAUAAUUUCAAGUAAGAUUUAAGGAAUCUUGACCAUUGUGGAAAGAGUACAGAACAUACAAAUUUAUUUUUUGUGUGUAUAUUUAAGUUGAUGUUUUGAUAUAUUAAUACAUAUACAUAGAGAAUUGGCUACUGUAGUCAAGUAAAUUAGCAUAUAUGUCAUCUCACACAGUUACCCCCUUUAUUGUUUGUGGCAAGAGCAAUGAUACUCUCCUUUGGCAAAAAUUCCUUUGGCAAAAAUUCUGAAUACAAUAUCAUUAACUAUAGUCCUCAUAUUAUACAUUAGAUCUCUAGACUGCAUCCUAUAUAUCUGCAACUUUGACCCAUAUCUCCCCAUUUCCCAUCUCCACCCCCUGGUUCCCAUUGUAAUAUCCUCUAUCUCUGUGUAUUUGACUUUUUAAAAAGAUACUCCACAUAUAUGUGAGAUCGUGAAAUAUUUUUUUCCUUUGGUUUAUUUCACUUAGAAUAAUCUCCAGGUUUACCUACAUUGUGCCAAAUGUCAAGGUCUCCUUUUUUAAGGCUGAACAAUAUUCCUUUGUUUAUACAACCACACACUACUUAACAAUUGGGAAGCAUUGUGAGAAAUGCAUUGUUAGGCGGUUUUAUCAUUAUGCAAACAACAUAGAGUAUACUUACACAGCCAAGAUAGUGUAGCCUACUACACAACUAGGCUGUGUGGUAUAGUCUGUUGCUCCUGGCCAUGAACAAGUACAGCAUUGUUACUCUAUACCGUAAGCAGUUGUAACACAAUGGUAAGUAUUUGUUUAUCUGAGCAUAGAAAAGCUACUGGAAAAAUACAGUAUAAAAGAUAUUAAAAGGCACACCUGCAUAGGGCAUGUCCAUGAAUGGAACCGGAAGUGGUACUGAUUGUAGCAAUGAGUGAGUGGUGAGUAAAUGUGAGGGACCAGGACAUUGCUGUACACUACUGUAGCCUUUAUAAAUACUGGACAUGUCGGCUACACUACAUUUAUAGAAAAUGUUUUUCUUUAACAAUCAGUUACCUUUGGCUUACUGGAACUUUUUUACUUGAUAAAGUCACCACAAACACAUGAAUAUUGUGUUGUGCUGCAAUGACUACAACAUCUAGUGAUGGGAAUUUUCUUGUAAUCAUCUGGGACCAUCUUUGUAUCUGUAGUCUGGCAUUGACCGAAACAUUGUUAUGUGGCAAAUGACUGUACGUACAUUUUCUUUAUCCAUUUGUCUGUUGAUGGACUCUCUGGCUGUGUCUUGGAUAUUCUGAAUAGUGCUCCAGUGAACUUGGGAGUGCAGCUGUCUUUAUGAGGUGGUGAUUUCAUUUUCCUUACGCCCAGAAGGGGAAUUGUGAGAUGAUACUCUAGUUCUAUUUUUAAUUUCUUUAGUAAUCUAUAUAUUGUCUCUCACUGUGGUGGCUGAAAUCUGCAUUUCCAUUAACAGUGUGCAAGGGUUCCGUUUCCUGCACCCCCUCCCGUACUUGUUAUCUUUUGUCUUUUUCAUAAUAACCAUUACACUGGUGUGAUGAUUUUGGUUUGCAUUUCCCUGAUAAUUAGCGAUUUUGAGCACAUUUUCAUAUACUUGUUGACCAUAUUUAUGUAUCUUUUGGAAGAAUGUCUAUUCAGAUCCUUUGCUCAUUUUUUAAUGGGAUUAUUUGUUUUUCUGCUGUUGAGUUGUGUGAGUUCUUUAUAUCUUUUAGAUAUUAGCUCUUUAUCAGAUACAUGGUUUGCAAAUAUUUUAUAUCAAUUUAGAGGCUGCCUUUUCAUUUUGCUUAUUAUUUCCUUUGCUGUGCAAAGCUUUUAGUUUAAUAUAGUCCCAUGAAUUCAUUUUUGUUUUUGUAGCCUGACCUUUUGGUGCGAAUAUAGACAUUUCUUUGUUCUUGUUUUCAGUAAAAUACUAUGAGAAAUAAUAUUUUCAUUGAUUUACUCAACUUUUUAAAUAUAACUUUUAAUAAGGAAUUAAAAACGAGUACGAUUUUUAAAAAAAUUUUUAAAUUGAAGUAUAAUAUGCAUGUAAAGCACACAAAUUUUAAAGGAAAACUAGUGAAAUUUACAUUCUAUAUUUGUGUUACCACCCAGAUCAAGAUAUUGAAUAUUUCUAGUAUAAUAGAUGAUGCCCUUAUGCCCUUUCCUGAUCGAUACCCCAACCCAACCAGAGUUAAUUGUUAUCCUGACAUCUCUCAUAUCUAGAUUAGGUUUUGCCUUUUUAAAAAUUACUGUGCAUUUUCUUAUAUUGGCUUCUUUUGUUCAGAACAGUGUUGGUGAGAUUCAUUUCUGUUAUUGCAUCAUUAGUGUGUUCUUCUAUAUUGUUAUGUGCUAUUCUUUUGUAUGAAUAUGCCACAGUAUAUACAUAUCCAUUAUUUUGUUGUGGGCAUUCUUUUUUUUCAGUUUAAUUUUAUUUUUAAUAAAGCUGUGUACGUUUCAAAUUGUAUUUUCAUGGACAAAUACACUCAUUUCUCUUGAGUAUAGAAGUAAUAAUAGAAUUGCUGGAUCCCUUUCCAUCUGGCGACAGCCAUCAGGUAAGCCAAGAUGGGUGCAUGCGAGUACAUCCAGGAGCUAUGGAGGAAGGAGCAGUCUGAUGUUAUGUGCUUUCCUCUGAGGGUCGGCUGCUGGCAGUACUGCUAGCUCUCUGCUUUCCACAGGGCUCACUGCCCCACCUGGCCUGAUAAAGCGUGCCAACUGGGCUACAAGGCCAAGCAAGGUUACAUUAUAUAUAGGAUUCGUGUUUGCCAUGGUGGCCCAAAACGCCCAGCUCCUAAGGGUGCAUCUUACGGCAACCCUGUCCAUCAUGGUGUUAACCAGCUAAAGUUUGCUCAAAGUCUUCAGCCUGUUGCAGAGGAGCAAGUUGGAUGCCACUGUGGGACUCUAAGAGCCCUGAAUUCUUACUGGGUUGGUGAAGAUUCCACAUAUAAACUUUUUGAGGUUAUUCUCAUUGAUCCAUUCCAUAAAGCUAUCAGAAGAAAUCUUGACACCCAAUGGAUUACCAAACUAGUCCACAAGCACAAGAAGAUGAGUGGGCUGACAUAUGUAGGCCAAAAGAGCCGCAGCCUUGGAAAGGGCCAUAAGUUCCACCACACUUAUUGGUGGUCCUCACCAGGCAGCUUGUAGAAGGCGCAAUACUCUCCAGCCCCACCAUUACCGCUAAUAUAAGUAAAGUUUGUAAAAUUCAUAACUAAUAAACAAUUUAGGACAGUCGUGUCUGCUUACAGGUGUUGUUUUUCUGUUAAAACUAGUCUGCAGACUGUUUCAUGAAUGCUUUGUCCAAUUAAAGUGCAAUAAUGUUUGAAGACAGUAAGUGAUGGUGUAUCUUGUUUCUAAUAAGAUAAACUUUUUUGUCUUUGUUUUAUCUUAUUAGGAAGUUAUAUGUCAGUGUAGAAAACAUACUGUGUGAUAUAAUAGGCUUAAAAUAAGUUUUUUAAAAGAGAAAUACUGAAACUAGUCCUGUAGAUUUGUCUGGUGCAUGUGAUGAAACCUGCAGCUUUAUUGGGGUGAUGGCAAUGCCCUGCUGGUUUACUUUCAAGUGGCUGGGUGUUUUUUAGUUUGACAGGUACAGACUUUGUAAAUUGGGCUUUGCUUUAGAAAUUGUAGGGUGGGAGGAGGACAUGUUAACUAUGUCAUGAUUAUAUUUAGAAAAUUACGGGCACAAAUUUGGGUUAGCCUGAAUAAAAUUGCCUCAGUCUCCACAGUACCAUUUUCAGUUCACGUAAAAGGUAAAAGCCCCUGGUUCAGUGCCUUGGCUUCAUAGCAUUCAAUGAUUAGUGGUAGUGCCAUUAACACUGGUAUGUUUUGAAAUUGAAUGUUAGACAAAAGUAUUGGUCUUAAUGUUGGUAAGCUAGCAAUCAGUGCCAGCAGGGGAAGUUGGUGAGCCAGUGUCCAUUAGAUAAAUACAUUUCAAGUGUGAGCUUAGAAGUCAACCUUAAAAUACUUAACUGUAACACUAGUUCGUGAUCAUUAUGAAUCCCUUCAGUCACAUUAAUGGGGAAAGUAGUUGACUAUAAAUACCUCAUUCUUCUUCUAGUCAGUCUUAAAAACAUCUUGGGUUACCCACUCUUCCCACUCCCGUAGGAUGUAGAAAAAGUCGUACAUGUGCAUGGUUUCCAACUGUAUGUGUUUUCUGCAGUUAUUUCUCUUGUUUCUGGCCAAACUACCCUAAAAAUCCUUACCAUUCCCCAAGGUUGGGCCAUCACUUGUGCGCCCACUUUCACAGUAAGUAUACCACCCUGUUGCAUUUCUGUUUGCAUCAUGUCUUCCGGGAGACUAGGCUACUGUUUUCCAAGGUAAAUUUGAGUGAAAGGAAAUGUAGACAAGGUAUUGCUCAAUUCUGAAUUUUGACUUUGCUGAUAUAAUUUAAAUGCUCAUUUCUCUGAACCAGUUUUCUCGUGUCUUCUUUAGGGGUUUCAGAAAGCUCAGUUAAUUUAUUUCCAAGUACUCAUAGCAAGUUCAUAAAAGUUCUUGAGACCUAAAUUUCUUCUCAAAAAAAGAAAAGAUCUUAAGUCAUACAUUUUGAUUGUGUAGAGGUUGUUCAACUAAAGGAAUAAAUGUCUAUUAAACUUAAAAAAGAA